rnacentral:lncRNA from 1 species
AGACAAACGGGAAAUUCCCAACUAUAGUGUCAUAAUAAAACCAUUUUUCUUGUUUUUACUGCAGGUCUAGCCUUUACUGUUGUACAUGUUAGAGAGCCUUUGUGCAUACGGACAUGAAGCUAUUUCUUACCUGAUUCAAUCUGACAAAGUUGAAACAUCGUUAUCAUCUAGGGUCCAAACUGUAUCACAACAGAAGUGGAGUUUAUUGUUUUGAUCUUUCUCAUCAAGACAUGAAAUACGGUCCACCUCUGUCACUCUGUAACCGUGAUAGCUGAGGGAUGGUGUCUUUUUAACCAAAAAUAGCAAAUAGAUUGUUUUUAUAUAUCAUUGGAGCUGCAAUAACCCAUUAACUACUGAAGCUGUUAACCUUGAACACCUGGCCUGUGUUAAGAGUGAUUUCAGGACAACUGAUGAGCCCAGAGUGUUCCAAUUCUUCGAGCAGUGAUUCUAAAUACCAUUUUCUAGAGAUGACCAGCCCUCCCUCUUCCUCAGGACAACCAAAAGGCUCCAGAGCUGCAUUUGAGCAUAGAGCUUUGCCUGAGCCAUGCUGUCGCUUGACCCUGACCUGCUGCCUGGACUCUCUGGAUGGAUGUUGGACCUGACUCGCUACCUUGCAAGUGUAAAGCGUCUAGCAAAGAUCUGUGGCUUUGCUGACUUGUAUAAAGUGUUCUGUGUUCUGACAGGAAUGUCUCCUUGCCUCUAAAUCAGAGCCUCUCAUGUCCUGGAAGGUCAAAAUAGUUGGCACUAGAGUGGGGAACUAAAGAUCAAAAGUCUGAUUAUUGGCUCUAGUGUGUAUUUAAAGGGAAAUUAUCUCUAGAAGAAACUAUCUUUUUGUUUAGUUUAACAGCAGAAUUUGGUUUCUGAUAAAUACUUAGCUCCCAGUAAGGUCCGCAGUAUUCUGGGGGACCCACUACUAUAAACUGGGCAAUAACUGGCAUCUAAUGACACUGCAGAGACUGCAGCAAAGUUAUUAAUAGGUUGUGGGGUUGGCAACUGGGGCUUGUCAGUAAAAGGGAAACCUAUGUGAGACACUUUCUUUCACUUUGCCAGUGAAUUAUGUGGAAGGGCCCUUCCACAUCUAUAUUUACUACAUGUUUCAGAAUCUUGGGGCAAAACGAAAACAAUACUAAGUACCAUGAAGGAUUACAUUUCUGUUUCCAGAGGGCUUGAAGUGUAAACUUACCAAGCAGUAUGGUACGCAGUCUAUCAACUUUUGAAAAUAGUAGCAGGAAUUUUAAUACGUAUCUGGGUUAUUUGCAAAAUUUUCAUAACCAGGAAAUAUCUAGAAAUAGAAUUCAGUGCUAGGCAAACAAGUGGCAGGGCUAUGACUUCUCCCUCUCGUUUUGAUGAUUCAUGAAAUGAGAACUGUAUAUACUUUUCAUCUCGGCAAUCUCUCUAUAUAUUUAUUUCAGAGCUUAUCUAAUUAGAAGAAAUAUGUUCCUGGUCAUCUUUUAAAACUGAUCUAGAAC